GGAUAAGACGAGUGUGGCCUAGGAGGCGUCAGACGUGGCCCUUGUAACCAGGUCUCUUAAAUGUGGCCUUGUGGGAUAAGGAAAUGGAUGUAUCAAGAGGUCAAGUAAGUUGUUUCAAGAUAACAUAGCUGGCUACUUUCCUCUAACAGCUAGUGAGACCUGAGGCCCAUAGACCUAUAGCCC